UAAAAAAUAAAAAAUAAAAAUUCCUCUAUUUUAAAGCUAUUCUGUAGGGGUAUUCAGGAGGAACAAAUUAACUUUUUGUUACCUGUUCAUUCUUUAUAAAACAUUUGACAGAUUCUAGGGUUUUCUGGAGGAUCAAAUCAGAAGAAUUGAAAGGCGGUUGAAGAUGUCAUUGCUUGCUAAAAUCAUUUCCAUCCCGGUGGCUGCUGUUGCUACUUAUGGUUCCGGUACGCUAAUUGCUAGUUGAUACGUUCGUGAUCAGUUAAUGAAGUCUGAUCUGCUAAAAUUUGAUGAUGAAGACGCAGAAUAUUAUGGACGGGAGGUUCACCGGCAAAUAAAGGCUUGGGAGGCUGCAAAGAAAAAAAUCGAGGCCGAGGAAUUGCUUGCAAGUACAGCUUAAGUUUGACAGUCUGUGUGGAAGACUAGUAGUAUUUGUUUUAUUUGGCUUUAAAAUUUAUUAAUUAUAUAGAUAUGAAUGCUAUCAGCUAAUGUGAGACUAGUAGUAGUACCAUUAAGUCUAAAUGAGAAUGCUUGCAAGUUGCAGUUGAUUAGCUUAUGGGGAACCAGUAGCAUGACUUUCUUUUGGUGAACUUUAAUGAGUUUGUUCCAAGGGACCA